rnacentral:rRNA from 1 species
AGAGUUUGAUCAUGGCUCAGAGCGAACGCUGGCGGCGUGCUUAACACAUGCAAGUCGAACGCGCAGCAUUCUGUAGCAAUACAGGGUGUGGGCGCGUGGCGAACGGGUGCGUAACACGUGGAUAACCUUCCUUCAGGUGGGGAAUAACCCAGUGAAAAUUGGGCUAAUACCGCAUAACAAAGCGAGAAGACAUCUUUUUGCUUUCAAAGCCGCAAGGCGCCAGAAGAGGGAUCCGCGGCCGAUUAGCUUGUUGGCGGGGUAACGGCCCACCAAGGCAUUGAUCGGUAGCCGGACUGAGAGGUUGGCCGGCCACACUGGAACUGAGACACGGUCCAGACUCCUACGGGAGGCAGCAGUGGGGAAUCUUGCACAAUGGGCGAAAGCCUGAUGCAGCAACGCCGCGUGGGGGAUGAAGCUUCUCGGAGUGUAAACCCCUUUCGACCCGGAAGAAAGCCCGCAAGGGUUUGACGGUACGGGUAUAAGAAGCCCCGGCUAACUACGUGCCAGCAGCCGCGGUAAAACGUAGGGGGCCAGCGUUGCUCGGAAUUACUGGGCGUAAAGGGUCCGUAGGCGGUGUGGCAAGUCGGUAGUGAAAUCUCUGGGCUUAACCCAGAGGCUGCUGCCGAAACUGCCGUGCUAGAGUGUGAGAGAGGCGAGUGGAAUUACGGGUGUAGCGGUGAAAUGCGUAGAUAUCCGUAGGAACAUCCGAGGCGAAAGCGGCUCGCUGGAUCACAACUGACGCUGAGGGACGAAAGCUAGGGGAGCAAACAGGAUUAGAUACCCCUGUAGUCC